rnacentral:rRNA from 1 species
GACGAACGCUGGCGGCGUGCCUAAUACAUGCAAGUCGAGCGGACUGAAUGGGAGCUUGCUCUUGUUCGGUCAGCGGCGGACGGGUGAGUAACACGUGGGCAACCUGCCCGCAAGACCGGGAUAACUCCGGGAAACCGGAGCUAAUACCGGAUAACACCGAAGACCGCAUGGUCUUUGGUUGAAAGGCGGCGCAAGCUGCCACUUGCGGAUGGGCCCGCGGCGCAUUAGCUAGUUGGUGAGGUAACGGCUCACCAAGGCGACGAUGCGUAGCCGGCCUGAGAGGGUGACCGGCCACACUGGGAGUGAGACACGGCCCAGACUCCUACGGGAGGCAGCAGUAGGGAAUCUUCCGCAAUGGGCGAAAGCCUGACGGAGCGACGCCGCGGGAGCGAAGAAGGCCUUCGGGUCGUAAAGCUCUGUUGUGAGGGACGAAGGAGCGCCGUUUGAAGAAGGCGGCGCGGUGACGGUACCUCACGAGGAAGCCCCGGCUAACUACGUG